UACGGGGGGAGCAAGCGUUGUUCGGAUUUACUGGGCGUAAAGGGCGCGUAGGCGGCCACCGCAAGUCGACUGUGAAAUCUCCGGGCUUAACCCGGAAAGGUCAGCCGAUACUGCGGGGCUAGAGUGCAGAAGGGGCAACUGGAAUUCUCGGUGUAGCGGUGAAAUGCGUAGAGAUCGGGAGGAACAUCAGUGGCGAAGGCGGCCAUCUGGGACAACACUGACGCUGAAGCACGAAAGCGUGGGGGGCAAACAGG
rnacentral:rRNA from 1 species